rnacentral:rRNA from 1 species
AAGAGAGAGACAUGCGCGCAUAUCAAUAAGCGGAGGAAAAGAAACUAACAAGGAUUCCCCUAGUAACGGCGAGUGAAGCGGGAAGAGCUCAAAUUUGAAAUCUUAAAGGGUUUACCUUGACGAAUUGUAGUUUAAAGAAGCGUUUUCUGUUGAAGGUUUCGGUAAAAGUUCUUUGGAAUAGGACAUCAUAGAGGGUGAGAAUCCCGUAUUUGACCGUUACUUUCAGCUGUGUGAUACACUUUCAAAGAGUCGGAUUGUUUGGGAAUGCAGUCCAAAAUGGGUGGUAAAUUUCAUCUAAAGCUAAAUAUUGGCGAGAGACCGAUAGCGAACAAGUACCAGGAGGGAAAGAUGAAAAGAACUUUGAAAAGAGAGUUAAACAGUACGUGAAAUUGUCAAAAGGGAAGCGUUUGACACCAGUGUUGUUUUUCUGAAAAUCAAUUAAAGAACUGUUUAUGCUAAGCUGUUUAGACUUUAUCAGCUAACUGUUUAGUUUUGAGCUUUUCUUUAAUGCACUUUUCAGUUAACAAGUCAACAUCAAUUUCUUUUGCUGUAAAAAAGCUUGAGGAAGGUGGCUUGAGAUUCGUCUUAAGUGUUUAUAGCCUCUUGCCUAUGCAGUCGGAGAGAUUGAGGUCUGCAGCGUAGAUCCUUCGGGGCUAAAUGCAUUUGUGCUAAGUUAUAGCAUUUUAUAGACAACUUGUUGACUAUGAUUUGUCUUGUAGCUUACUCGCUUAUGUUAUUUUACCUACGCUUAGGAUGUUGAGCGCAUGUCUCUCUCU